ACGUAUACUCCUGCGGGAGGCAGCAGUGGGGAAUAUUGGACAAUGGGCGCAAGCCUGAUCCAGCCAUGCCGCGUGAGUGAUGAAGGCCCUAGGGUUGUAAAGCUCUUUCACCGGUGAAGAUAAUGACGGUAACCGGAGAAGAAGCCCCGGCUAACUUCGUGCCAGCCGCCGCGGUAAUACGAAGGGGGCUAGCGUUGUUCGGAUUUACUGGGCGUAAAGCGCACGUAGGCGGACUAUUAAGUCAGGGGUGAAAUCCCGGGGCUCAACCCCGGAACUGCCUUUGAUACUGGUAGUCUUGAGUUCGAGAGAGGUGAGUGGAAUUCCGAGUGUAGAGGUGAAAUUCGUAGAUAUUCGGAGGAACACCAGUGGCGAAGGCGGCUCACUGGCUCGAUACUGACGCUGAGGUGCGAAAGCGUGGGGAGCAAACAGGAUUAGAUACCCCAGUAGUCCCAUGAU
rnacentral:rRNA from 1 species